rnacentral:rRNA from 1 species
UGGAGUAUGUGGUUUAAUUCGAUGCAACGCGAAGAACCUUACCUGGUCUUGACAUCCCGGAGACCCUUAGGAUACUAGGGGUGCUUCCAUCUGGAAGAAUCUGGAGACAGGUGCUGCAUGGCUGUCGUCAGCUCGUGUCGUGAGAUGUUGGGUUAAGUCCCGCAACGAGCGCAACCCUUGCCUUUAGUUGCCAGCAGUUCGGCUGGGCACUCUAAAGGGACUGCCGGUGUUAAACCGGAGGAAGGUGGGGAUGACGUCAAGUCCUCAUGGCCUUUAUGACCAGGGCUACACACGUACUACAAUGGCCGAUACAAAGGGCAGCGACACUGCGAGGUGAAGCCAAUCCCGUAAAAUCGGUCUCAGUCCGGAUUGGAGUCUGCAACUCGACUCCAUGAAGUUGGAAUCGCUAGUAAUCGUGGAUCAGCAUGCCACGGUGAAUACGUUCCCGGGCCUU